AUGGCCUGUGCAGUGGUAGCAGCUGUACCGACUGCUGCUGCAGGAUUUGCAAGCUGUUAUGUUUGGCAAGCCACGAAGCACAGAAAGCCUCAAGUAAAACAAGUUUUUCAAAGUCUACCAAAAUAUUUUUCAGAGGUUAUUACGACAGAGGUGGGGUUGAACCCAAAAUGACAAAACAGGAAGCAGCACUAAUACUAGAUGUAAGCCCUAACGCCAAUAAAGGAAACAGUAAGAGGUUCUUAUCAACAUGUUAUGCUCUUAAAUCACCCAGACAAAAGAGGGUCUCUUUAUAUAAUAGCCAAGAUCAAUGAAGCUAAAAAUUUACUGUAAG
rnacentral:lncRNA from 1 species